GCCUUCGUGGUGUAACUGUAGCACAUUAGGCACAUAUUCGAGAGGUCUAGGUUCGAGUCCCGGUGAGGGCA
rnacentral:tRNA from 1 species